AAAAAGCCAAGCGUUUGAAUUAUUUAUAGGACUUUCACAUUUACUUUGAGUCGAUCGCACAAUUGUUCUGAAAUGUAUAAGCUGUUAAGUAUUGUUUUAAUGUUUCUGUUCAUCGUUGCUGACUGUAACGCUUACUUGGUUAUAGAUUUCCGGGAACAACGAUGCUUUGAACCGCACCAUUUGAAAGACCGAGAUAAUGGCUGCCUGGCGGACACUGAAAGGUAUUAUUACGACAUAGGCAAAAAUGAGUGUAUUUUGUUCGAGGACGGUGUUUGCGGGGGCACUGAUAAUAACUUCUCCUCAAAAGCAGAGUGCAUGAGUGCCUGUGGCCGCCAUUGAAUGAACUCGGAAUUAGUUGCAUGAUUGCAUCACUUUCAAAAUCUCCAAAGAAAAUAGUGAUGCAAAUGAUUAUUAAUGCAAUGAAUUUUGUUUUGAAAUUAUA